rnacentral:rRNA from 1 species
AUUGAACGCUGGCGGCAGGCUUAACACAUGCAAGUCGAGCGGGGUGAUGGUGCUUGCACUAUCACUUAGCGGCGGACGGGUGAGUAAUGCUUAGGAAUCUGCCUAUUAGUGGGGGACAACAUUUCGAAAGGAAUGCUAAUACCGCAUACGUCCUACGGGAGAAAGCAGGGGAUCUUCGGACCUUGCGCUAAUAGAUGAGCCUAAGUCGGAUUGGCUAGUUGGUGGGGUAAAGGCCUACCAAGGCGACGAUCUGUAGCGGCCCUGGGAGGAUGAUCCGCCACACUGGGAAUGAGAAACGGCCCAGACUCCUACGGGAGGCAGCAGUGGGGAAUAUUGGACAAUGGGCGGAAGCCUGAUCCAGCCAUGCCGCGUGUGUGAAGAAGGCCUUAUGGUUGUAAAGCACUUUAAGCGAGGAGGAGGCUACUUUAGUUAAUACCUAGAGAUAGUGGACGUUACUCGCAGAAUAAGCACCGGCUAACUCUGUGCCAGCCGCCGCCGUAAGAC